ensembl:snRNA U6 U6 spliceosomal RNA
UUACUCACUUCAGCAGCACACAUAUUAAAUUGGAGUGAUACACAGAAGAUUGGCAUGGCUCCUGCAUAAGAAUGACACUCAAAUUCAUGAAGCAUUACAUAUUUUU